CGGUGAUAAAAAGCAGCAGCACCGUCAUCAAAAGAUAUUCUGCAAAAAUUAUGUUUAAAUUAAUGUCAAGAUGACCCCUUUUCGAGGCAGUAUUCGAUCCAUCCGCUCGUUGUUGUCGGCACAAUGCAAAAGAUUCCAAUAGCAACACUACAAGCGAUAUCUUCCAAUAAAGCUGUUAAAUAAUGGUUCUUGA